AUGAGUAAGUGUAAGAAAGAGUUGAGUGAGAGAGAGAGAGAGUUGAGUGAGAGAGAGAGAGAACGGCUGCUCAUCCGCAGGGCCAGCGGAGCCAACGCCUCUCAGCUGGCUCAUAUGGAAAAGAUGCUACAAGAAACCAAAGGCCUGCUGGAGAAGAAGACAGAGACGGAUUCAGAAAGCAAAGCCUGUGGGGACACUAUGGUGUCUGAUCUGGAGCAGAAGGUCCAGCGCAGCAAGCGAGACCGUCGUAACUCUCUCCACCGCACACAGCUGCUGGAGAGUCAGAUGAAGACGGUUCGCGGCGAGCUGGUUGGCACGCUUGACCACCUGCAGGAGCUGCGCAACAUACUGCGACGCUCGCAGCAGAACGCAGAAGAGCGGGACGCAGCCAUGCAAAAACUAGCUGCAGGGCUGAGGUGAGACACCACAUGUCUGCCUGCAGUUCCUGGGUUACCACAUCCAUUCAUCUCAUCUUAAAGACUUUAAAGCACUGUUCCUCUGAAAUAUCUGUUUGACUGCACAUCCAGAAUGAUGCUAUUUUCACAUUGGCUCAUACAUUCCUAUGCAACCAGAUGCUGUUGUAAAAUCUAUGUUAAAUGAUUGAAGCAUGCCACAGUUAUUUAAAGGGCGUGGUUUUAUUCUCUUAAGAUAGAAGUAGUUCUGUUUUGGCUGAUGAGAACUCUGUUUGGUAGCAUCCGGGUUUUAUAUCCUGUUGUCAGUGAAAUGCAGCAUUAAAGCAUAAUUUCAAUCAUAUAAACAAAUGUCUGUAUAAGUAUAUAGACAUCCAUUGAAUGCCUUGUUAACUUGUGUGACGGCUUCAGCCAAGUGUUUUUUUGUUUUUUUUUCUUCACAGGAUUCGUUUUGUAAGACCACAGAUUGUGUAUAAUGUCUUGUAGCUUUGAGUUGUUUCAUAUGUGAUACCUGCAAGAUCCAACAUUCCUUAAUAUGAAUGCUUUAGUCCUGUAUACUCAGAGACUCAACUGCUUUUAUCGUUUAAUUUAAUAUAUUGUUUAUUCCUUUUACAUGAUCUGCAAUAUUACAUGCUGUUUCAACAUUAAUAUUAAUCCCCAAUUCACCAAGUAAUGCUGAUGUAGAAUGUUUGUGUCUGGAUACUCAUUAAAAUAUCCAUAUGUCCUCCAGGUUGUACUUUAUGAAAAGAAAACAGAAACAUUAUAUCCAUUUCAGUUGUGGAUUUCCUCCACGUAUCCUAAAGAUCACUUUUUCAUGUUGCUUUCGGGAGUUUUAGUAUAAGAUUGAAUUUUAAAUCUACUUUUCUUUCCUCCACUUUGAGUGAAGUUCUCUCAAACUUUGUGUCCUCAUGCCACCCUUGUAAGUGAGAUAUAACACCACUGAUCUGCCCUCACUCACCUUACGUUGAAAGGGUAAUGGCCACAUUUUAUUAACUUAAGUAAAAUAUUGGCCAUGUUGUACAUGUUGUUUAAAUGAGGCUUUUAAGAUCAGGAAUUGAAUGUAUUGCAGAGGAGGAAAAAAUGGUAAAUCACCUUGUCCUUUGGAUUUAAGAGAAUGAGAUUAAACAUUCAGAGGAGGACCUGCAAACAAUGAAGGAAUGAGAGAUACAAAAAAAAUCUAGACUGCUUUGAACCUCCUCUCCACUCAUCCAGAACCUCUACGUACUAUCAGCAACACCAGACACCACUGUUCAUGCUGAUACACGUUGAAAAUCAUGCAGCAAACAUGCAAGAAAUUUAUUCAUUGUGAAAGACUGCAUUUAGAGUGGAGGAGAGCACUAAAGUAUAUCUGGUAUACAACAUCACAGCACACAAUUAUGGGAUGUUUUGUUUAUUAUUAUUAUUAUUAUUAUUUUAUGUAUAUAAUGUGGAUCUAAAGCACUUAGAUUGAAUCUACACUCUAAGUGUACAUUUUGUCAAUUAUAUGCCUCUUACGUGUAUUCCGUGGUGUCUUUUUUAACCUUUUUUUUUUUUUUUUUUUACAUUUUUUUAAUUAAUUAAUUUAAUUUAAAUAAUAGAUAUAUCAUUCAAACAUUUUCUUAAUUAACCUCACAAUUGCUGGGGGACCUGUGUCCUGCCUCACACAUCCACUUAAAAUGACCACGGCCAAGUAGAUGUAGCGAAUAGUUUGAUCAGAGAAGCAUUAACAUUUGUUUGCAAAUACCAUGUUACACGUCUAUGCUUCAUUACGUUUUGAGUUUUGUCUUCCUUGUCUUGUGACCUAGUUUUCCUAAGUUGUUUGAUUAGUUAUCAUGUCCACCUGAUGUCAAUUAAUGAACUCGUUAUUUCCCUUUGUUUGCCUUGUGUAUUUACGCCCUGUGUUAUCUCCUUCUGUUUGUCUGUGUUUGAAAGGUUGUUGUUAGUGGCUUUCCUGAGUUUAUGUAGUUUAAAGUUUGUCCUUUGGAGUAUGCAUGUUUCUAUACUAAUACGUGACAACCACUUGGAUUUUUUUUAAUUUUUAUUAUUAUUAAAUAUGAUGACAUUAUACAUAAGUGGGGGCUUAAGUGUCCAAAUGCUCUUUGGGGCCAGUUUAUGAGUCUGUUUGUUGACUUUGUAAUUUCUACUUCUAGUCAAGACUCAGAAUGACUGCUAUGUGGCCAUUACUAAAUGCCCCAGACAACUCUAAAUUAUAAACCCAAGGCACUUUGGUUAUGUGACUUUAUAUGAUCACAAUCAGGCUGUUGUAGCAUGUUUUUUUUUUUUUUUAAAUUAGAUGCACAAUUGUUCUGUUCUGUCCAAGAAAAGAGAUGUCAUGCUCUCUUAGGAGCACAGGACUUGUGUCUCUCAGAUUAGCAUCAAAACAAACCACACAAUCUGUUAUAUAAGCAGCUUUUCCCAGCCUGUUUGAUAACUGUUUACAUUAAGUUAGUAUGGUUUGCUUUGUUGUAAACAGACUGCAAUGCAUUGUAAUAGUUACAUUAUUCAAAGAUGUUUUGGUAAAGAGCAAGUACGAUCCUGUUUUGCUUGACAGAACACCUCAAAUAAAGAUUGAUGAAACUUUAGUGUGUCCCUAGUUUGCCUUUUCUAGUCCUAGCUGAUUGAAGCACAUUAUCUGUUUGCACGUUUGAAUGGCAGUCGUGUGAGUGAGACGUGGCAGGAGAGUAGCUCUGGUGGCAUUAGCAUGGCUGUGCCGUAAGAUCCCAGAAGUCAGCACCAGGAAAUGAAAGUGCUGGAGCAUCUGUUGGCCAUUCAGCACACGUGUUGCUCCCAAAUCUCUUCGAGAUCCACGUUCACAAGGACACAGGGAACUUGAGAAAUGUACAGGUCAGCCAUUAGUGGUUCAGAUGGACUGAUAUAUGGAAGGUCAUUUUUGUCUCAUAUUUAUGGUAAACUUUUCUUUUACAUGAAAUGGAUAAUAUAACGUCAGUGGCAGUAUGAGACAUGGUCAGGGUUUUUUUUUGUGUUUUUUGUUUUUUUGGAAUGCUGUGAUGUUUGGGAAGGGGAGCCAGAGUAAAUUUCCAUUGGCGCAGGAACAAAUCCAGAGCUGCAGAGAGAAUAAAGGCUCUCUUCGGGGAUUCACAUCCAACCCUUCCAAAAGCUUUAAUGAAAUGGGACAUUUAGUCAGUUCACAGGCCAAUUUGUGAUGUAAUAAUGUUAAAUUGGUACAUCUACCAAGAUUUAAAAUUAUUUUGAAACAGCAUCCAUCAGACUUUGUUUGGAAUUGUUGGAUAAUCGUAUAAAGCUUAUAGUGCUGGAUUUAUCCACAUUCCUGAUGGCACACUCCUCCGCUCGAAGACAAUAGCUCUAUAUCCCUGUCUUUUGUUGCAUGAGCACUAAAGCACAGUUUUGUAUUUGUGAAUUUGUGCAUGAAAGAGGUUUGUUUAAAUUUUCACAAUUGGAGUGUGUUACUGACCACUUCUGGAGGUGUAUGUGUGUGUGUGUGUGUGUGUGUGUGUGUGUGUGUGUGUGUGUGUGUGUACAUACACGUGUGAAAGCGUGUGUGCAGGUAUGUGUUUCUGUGUGUGCAGGAUUGUGUGUUAAGGGCAUGUGUGUUUAAUAGGCAGACAAUAGCAGAAAAUGCUGAGGUUGCGGUGAGGGGUUUAGGGAUUCUACAGCCCUCCCCCAGUCAUGAGAGGGUCUACGCAGGUGCACUCAAUCCUCUGCCUAACAGCCAUGUGACAACUAACACAUACAGACCCACCAAAUCACUUACUGCCAUACAGUGGGGUCUACCACAUUACUGUUUAUUAUAUCACGAAUUUCUAAUUGAAAAAUGUAAAAAUAUUCAGGACAUUGUAACAGUAAUAAGUUGAGAAAAUACUUUAACUAUGGUCAAAUAUAAAUUACCAACUGAAACAAUGCAGGAAGACUUUUCAACUUCUGUGACAACAGGUUUUCAAACAUUUUUCAUUACAAAGCUGGUUUAAUUCUGUAAUCAUUGGUCCAUAAAAAUGAUGGAAAUUAAACAAAUGUGAAAAUUAAGCAUAACUGGUUUGGCACACACUGUGUACCCAAAUGCAUGUUAAACUCGCAGCACAUGCAGUUCACUUGCUGUAUUUUCUGUAAACAUAGCUGCUAUGAGAUGCUGAAUAGACUGUACCAUUAGCUGGCUGUGUUUGAAAAAAAAAAAAAAAAAAGACUAUUUACUUAUUUAUUUUCACACUGUGGUAUAUGUCAACUUGCUGGCAGAUAAAUGAGAGAGAGAAAAAGCACAGGUGUUACCAGUCUAUCAACACCCUGCAAAAAAAAAAAAAAAAAAUCUAAAACCGUCUUUACAUUUUUUGGGAAAGAUAUAUAUAUAUAUAUACAUUUAGAAUACAUUUUAGUAAGAAAACUAUUACGUAAUGAAUCAUGUUUUGUACACGAUUUGUACAUGAUUUUGCACAUUCGCACAGUUAGUGAAUGUUUCAGGAAAUGGAAAAACUAAAAACAAUAACCUAAAAUCUGGUAAAGUUGCUACGAAAUAGUUAGUAUUCUGCAUUAUUUCUAUUUCUAUAAUAGCAUGUGCAAUGAAAAAGUAUUUACAUUUUUUAAAUUAGAAAAUUAUGUUAUUAAUAUAUUACAUAUAAUAUAUUACAUUACAAAAUACACAUUUUCGACAUUCACAUUUAACAUUCAGACAUUAUUGCUGUCAAGUCUGC
ensembl:lncRNA